GUUGUCGUCAGCUCGUGUCGUGAGAUGUUGGGUUAAGUCCCGCAACGAGCGCAACCCUUAAGCUUAGUUGCCAUCAUUAAGUUGGGCACUCUAAGUUGACUGCCGGUGACAAACCGGAGGAAGGUGGGGAUGACGUCAAAUCAUCAUGCCCCUUAUGAUUUGGGCUACACACGUGCUACAAUGGACAAUACAAAGGGCAGCGAAACCGCGAGGUCAAGCAAAUCCCAUAAAGUUGUUCUCAGUUCGGAUUGUAGUCUGCAACUCGACUACAUGAAGCUGGAAUCGCUAGUAAUCGUAGAUCAGCAUGCUACGGUGAAUACGUUCCCGGGUCUUGUACACACCGCCCGUCACACCACGAGAGUUUGUAACACCCGAAGC
rnacentral:rRNA from 1 species